AAGUUAUGUAAUCUUCGACUUUCGAAAAAUAAUCAAAAGACAUUUGUUUAUUGAGUAUAUAGAAAAUAAGUAAUGUUCAUGUGUGGGUUAUUUAAAACUUAUACAUGUUCACAUACAAGUUGUUAAACCAUGGAUAAAAUGAUUGAAAAUUCAUUACUAAACAGAUGACAAG